CUUAUCUUCUUCCGCAAAUCACUCUCGUCCACUCACUUUUCUUCUUCCUCUGUUUGCCUGAGCUAUCUCCUACUCUUCUCUGUCUCUCUCGUCCAUUUUCUCCUCCCAUGAGCACCACAAAGUGAACCAUCGACCCAGCACCAUACCCUCAUUUUUCUCUCUCAGCUGCAUCUGCAACUGCUCAAGACGACGACUGCCGCAUCAGGGGGCGGGCCGUGGUGCUGGAACAGAGUCCGACGAUGCUGGAACCAGCAGCUGCCGGAGGUGGAGGCGGCGACAAGUGCUGGAGAUCCGGCGAGUUUUUUUGCUGGAACCACGAAGGCUUUUUGCUGGAACCAGCUCUAAUUUUUGCUACCAUUGUAUUUGAUUUUUUUUGUUGGAAUCAAGCCAGAUUUUGCUACUACGUUUGUUUUUUUGCUGGAACUAGUAGAGCAAUUUGUUACCACCAUGUUCGUUUUUUGCUAGAACUAACCAAAAUUUUGUUGCUUUGCUUGUUUGCUGGAACCUUGUGUACCACUUUUUGCUACAAUAGUUUUGUGUUUUGCUACUACCGACGCUCUCAUUUGCUACAUCCUUUUUCAUGAGGAUACCGAGGAUCAUGACUAUGUUUUUCUUGUUGUAACCAUUGUCGAUUUUUGCUACUACCGGCGAAGCCCCGAGCUGGACCAGAAGCUGUUUUUGAGCGUUUCUGCAAUUUUUGUUGCAACUUGCAACUGACACCCGCAAAAGCUUCCAUCGACAUGAUUUUUUGCUACAAUUUGAGCUGCAUCCGGCUGUUAGGUUUCCUCGACGGUGGCGAGUUUUUUGCUUACCGGCGAGCUGCGUCGGCAUUCGGCGAUGGCGAGCUGCGUCGGCGUGCACAGUUGCAAUCUCAUCUUGAUUGGGGCGACGAGACCUGCAAGCGGGAGACGGCUUGGGGCGACGAGCAAGCGACAAGGACGUUGGCGAGGGCCGCGACCGGCGACGAGGACGGCCGGCGAGGGCCGCGACAGGCGACGAGGAUGGCCGGCGAGGGAGACAUCCAUAGAGCGUGUGCCCCGGCGAGAUGAAGGGAUAGACGAGAUGCGAGAAUCCUUCGUAUGGGCGAGAAGAUGCAGUGCAUCGGACGGUUACAAUCCAGAUCCACGAUAUCGUACGCCUGCAGGCAGACCGGCCCAAAUUUGGGCCGGCGCGCCGGCGCCUAGUACGGCCCUAUCACAAAUGCUCAGCGGCCUUCCCAUCUGAUCUCAUACAACCCAGCAACCUCAUCAAGAGAUAAGAGAAGGAUGUUCCACCGAGCCUCCUCAGAGCUCAGGCACUCUCGGUCGUCGGAUCGUACUGCUUGAUGCAUUUUCGGCCGUCGGAUCGACCCGCUGGAUGACCUCGUCCGUCGGAUCAAAAAAAGUUACCGUCUCAUUCGUGCGACCGCGCGUAAAUAGCCUGCCCCGCCGGGGGCAUUUUCGUCAUUUCACUCGCAGGGGGUAUAAAAGGCCACGGCUCGCGUGGAGAUGACCUAGCCGGCUCGCUCCCGAGCGCAUCCUCUCCCUCUCUCGCUCGUUCCCCUCCCCUCCCGCGCACCUCCUCUCCUCUUCCUCUUUCCCUUAGCGCCGCCGCCCCUGCCUCCUUCCAUGCCGCCGCCCGGCCUCCUUCUCCUCUUCCUCUCGCCCCUAGCGCCACCGCCCCUGCCUCCUUCCCCACCACCGCCCGACCAACUCCCCUCACGUCCUCCUCCUUCCACCCCCUUCGAUUUGGCGCCGCCCAAACCAUGGAGAGCGGCCAAAGGAGCAACGACGGCCAGCCCCUGCCUCCUCUCCAGCACGUCCAGGGAUCCAUAGAUUGGUCCACAAUUACCUGAUUCUCGUCCUUCUGGUCAAACCCCUGGUAGGCGCCUCCUUCGAUCUGUGCGUGCACGUCAUCUAUUAGCAGCCUCACACAUCCUCUUCCACGGAUCUUCAGAUCAACCCCUCUUCUCCUCCUUUCCCCUCUUCUUUCCAUACCUAGGUGUAGGAUUGUAUGGCAAUAUGCAUUUUUGGCCUCGCCUCUGUUCUGAUUGUCGGUCAUGUAUUUUCUGGUAAAAGCCAAAAGUAUUUAUGUCUUUGUGCAUUGGAUGUCGGUGGUUUCCUGUCUUCACUGCUUGUUUUUAGUGGAGUCUAAUUAUAUGUCUUUUGUUCCUUGUCUGCAUCCUGGUAGGGCCUAUGAUUGUUGGUCCUUUCACCUUUGUGCAUGGAAUGUUGGUGGUUUUGUUUAU